UACGGGGGGAGCAAGCGUUGUUCGGAUUUACUGGGCGUAAAGGGCGCGUAGGCGGUCAGCACAAGUCAGUUGUGAAAUCUCCGGGCUUAACUCGGAAAGGUCAACUGAUACUGUGCGACUAGAGUGCAGAAGGGGCAACUGGAAUUCUCGGUGUAGCGGUGAAAUGCGUAGAUAUGGGGAGGAACACCGGUGGCGUAGGCGGCCACCUGGACGGUAACUGACGCUGAGACGCGAAAGCGUGGGGAGCAAAUAGG
rnacentral:rRNA from 1 species